ensembl:lncRNA
AAGAAAUUAGAUAACAAGUGCAUGCAUGUGUGAGUGCUUGUGGGACUAAAUUCAUGUGAAAUACUGGACCUGAUUGCUGGGCUCAUAAAAAGCAAGGGGAGAAAAUGGGAAGAACCAGACUAAGAAACCUCUUGGGAUGAGUUAAACAUGGGAAAAUUGCUCACUGGUUACUAUCACAGACAGAACAAACUCAAACUUAACUAUCUUAAGGCUGUUUUAUUCCUUUGCUCCAAACUACCAGCUUCCCACACCAAGUGGUGCAGCAGCAGCCAGGUCCAUUCUGCAUGGAGUGCUCUCCCAGGGGAAUUGGGACAGGUCCCAGAAGUCAUGACAUCAUCUGAAACUGGCUACCUCCCUGGAAUCUUGUCUGGAUAUUCUUCUGCACUGCCCCUGGGGAGGCUGUAGCACAGUAGUUCUGUUUAAGGGUGCGAGUUGCUUUAGAUGCAACAGCAACUGGAUUAAGAUCCCAGGGAGAUGCUCAGCGUUACUGCAAUGCUAAGAGAUCGUGUGUGGGCAUCAGAGAGCAUAGGAUCCAUGACAGUGUACUGUGUACAAGGAGCUAGGAGGGGAUGUAACCAGGACAGCUGGCCCAAACUGGUCAAAGAGAUAUCCAAUACCGCACAGCAUUGUGUUCAGCAAUAAAAGCUGGGACAAGGAAAGAGGAAGGGAUGAACUGUUGGAGUUGAUGGCAUUUGUCUUCACAGUGCUAUGGACAGUGGGAUUGAGUGCACCCUCAGCAAGUUUGUGAAUGACACCAAGCUGUGUGGUGUUGUCAACAUGCCUGAGGGACAGAAUGCCAUCCAGAGAGAUCCAGACAGGCUUGAGCGGUGGGCCCAAGUAAGCCUCAUGAGAUUCAACAAAUCCGAAUGCAAGGUCUUGCACCUGGAUUGUGGCGACACCCACUACCGUACAAGGAGCUGGGACCAUCCCUUAAAGCUUAUAGGAAGAUGGAGCUAUUCUUCCUGCUGGGACUAUUCUCAAGGUAGGGCUGCUCCAUGGUUGACUGAAGAGGUACAGUAAUCUACAAUUGCAUGUACACUACUGGGAGUGCAGGGGUGUUGCUUUAUAUUUACCUGACUGAAGGUUAUCAUAGCUGUACUGUUAAUGCACAAGACUAGUUAAAAAGCCAGUUUUUCAAACAUAAUUUUCCACAUUGGGAUAUGACACUGAUAUAUCAGAAGAUAUGUAAUCAUCUAAUUCUAAAGGUGGAAAUCAGAGGAUGUACUUAGACCUGGUGUGUGAAUAAUGUAGGAAUCCAGAAUGUCUAAACAUAUGGAUUCAUGCCUUACAUUGCUCUUUGUAGCUGCUGAUAAUCAGCCAGACUUUAUGAAAUGACUGCCUAUUCAUGUCAGUUAGUCUGGUCAUGUUACUUCAUUAGAAGGUUAGCUACUAGGAUAUAAGAUCUUGGAUGAACCUGUGCUGGCUUGAUGAUAUCCCUUAUUCACAUCUUUGCUGGUGAGUGGCAUUAUGCAUGUAGGUCCUGGUGCAGUAGAAAUUCUCUUUUAAUGAUAAGAAAAUACAUGUAUGCAUGAUGAACUUGGCAUCAUUCAAAUGUUCUUGGGACAGAGGGGUGUCAAGGAUACUACAAUAACCUCUUUUGGAGGUCAAAAAGAGAACCGGAGGUUCACAUAGGGUGGCAAUAAAAAGCGGUUAUCACUGACAGUAAGCUAAAUCUGGUAUGCUUGGCUAUAUUUCCUAAGACUGCAUAAAACUAUGUUAUCUGAAGGUUGUGUCAAAAGCUGUAGCAAAACUGUAACAUGUAGUCUUUGCUUUUUCCCUCUCCACAAGGUCUGUUACUCUAAUCACUUAACAAGAUUUAUUCCUGACAGUCUCAUCUUGGCCAUCAUGUAUUAAUACCUAGAGCUAAAACUCACAAGCCAGUGUACUAUAGAACUUGGACUUCAGUUAGUAUUUUAACUGAAUUAGUAAGUGGAAAAUAGUUACCUUUUUAAUGCUUUUUUAAUAUAGAAAAAUAAACUUGGAAAAAAAUAAAAACAAAAACAAAAAACCAAUAUUUCAUGCCUAUACAGAAGCCUAUACAAAUAAACCAUAUGAAAUCUUGAGAAUAAAGCAUUAGUUGAGGUGAUGUAGCUACGGAACUGGUUGUAUACAGAGAUGAUUGGACCAAACCAGGGCCUGGCUGCUGUCAGUUGACAGGUGUAUAAAAUAUCAACAAUUUUGUUUAUAAGAAUUUAAAAGUUACUUCAUGUUUGUAUUUUAUUUUUAAAUAUAACUGGUGAUGAGAGGAGAUGGUGGAUACAGAAUUGAAACAGGAAUUCUGUCCCAAGAAAUGAAAGAGGGAGAUGUCCAACAGCAAGAACACUGUCAUUGCUCCUGCAUCUUCCUGAACAUGCUGCUGCCAAGCUAGCCCAGGUCCCAGAGCAACACAGGGAGCACUAUUUCUGUAGGAGCAUCUGUCUGAGGAUGUGAAGUGAAUUUGGACAGUAGAGCUCAAAGACAUUGGAAGACAAAGAUGAGCCCUCUAGAACUCAUCACAGCAGGAUUUGAUGAACAAUGUGGUAAAAGCAACUGUAAAAUCUAAGGCUUUUAGUCAAGUAGUUUUUGAUGUUGGUAGACCUGAAGUACUUAGCCUUCAAUCUUCAGGCUGGCCUUGUGCUUGUGAAAUUACUCAAAACAUAAUUUGUCUUAACUUUUAGGAAAAAGACUUGUUCUUACCUAAUCCUUAUUAGAAAAUAUCUAUCAUGAGUGAAAUUGUCAUAGAGAAGAAAAAGCCAAAUGGUAAUUCUUAAUAAAAUGAAUGUAUGAAAACAGUUCAGUCAAUCUUUGCUGUAAGUUGGAGUGUGCUGUAAAGGGAAGGUGGCCUCUGGCAGGAGCUGUCUUUCAUCAGAACUUUAUGCACAUUUGAGAUUUUCAGCAUUUCAUCAGUGGGAAUCCUUAGGAGGCACUGAGCAAGAAGAUACAGGAAGAUCUAUUUUGAUUUCCCUAGGAAAAAUGCUGCUUUUGGAAGCCAAUUACCAAGGCCUCCAAUAUAUGUGGUGCUCUUCAUGACUCCAGACUGCCAGGAGACAGCCUAUAUUUGCAGCUCUGCAGCUAUGGGGAGGAACACUUUCCCAGCAUCUCUCUUGAAUGUAAAGGAGAUGAUCAUAAUUUAAGUUGCAUAAAUGGACAGCUGAAGUUAUUGCUAUUAUUUCAGCUAAUUUCUUCCAGUGACUUGGAAUAAAAACUUCUUCCUCUUAACUGGAAGAAACAUGAAUGGAAAUUAUGCUUAUUCCUUUGUGGUAACGGCUACAGAGGCCCUUCAAGAAGCAGCAGCAGUAGGAAUAAAAGAGAUUUUAUAAUAAAUACCCUGACUGCAAAACAAAUGUUUGCACCAUUCGGCUCUUAACACUAUGAACUCAGAUUUGCUAGAAAUGACUGGCAGUUUCUGUUAAAGACACUGCUUUUACCAGAUACUUUUUUGAGGACUGAUCUAUUACAAGUAAUUCUUUACCAAUGAAUUACCUGUGGUCUUUAUCAGUGAAAAAUACCAAGACUUAGAGUCUACAUAUACUGCACAUGCAUCUGUGUCAUCAACAAACUGUUCUGGAGGUAUGCAUCAAUGUAUAAAAUGUAAGAGUAGAUGUUAUUUGAAUAAAAGGGACCACUCUAUAUGUGGGGACUUGGAGUGAUUUUGUUACUUGGUUUUUUUUGUUGUUUGUUUGUUUUGGUUUUUUUGUUUGUUUAUUUGCUUUUGACAGUGCAGUUGUUUGACCAGAAAUAGAAAUACCUAGAAGAGAAAUGCCAACUGGGCAUACCUGAGGAAGGGGUGUAACCACAGCCUCAUUAAUAACACACCACACAUUUAAAAGGAUGCAUUGCAGAUGCUCUGCAAACAACGGUGAUAACAUCCAACAAGUCCAGCCUGAUGUCUUCUUAGAAACAAACUGCCACCAGGAAUAUUACAUGUAUAGUAGCCUUCCAAAGAACAAUUGCUACAAAGAUCUGCUGCACAGUCUGAAAUGAAAGUAGAAGAUGGAAUAUCUAAUUCCAAAUGCUUCAUUCCUGUUAAAAACAAAGCUGAGAGGAUACCACUCUGAUUAUAUUAACCUGUUUCUAAAGAGAUGAGAAUUUUCCAGUAUUUUUCAUGGUGAGUAUAAUGAUUCACAUAUCUUUUCAAAUACUGAAACUGGUAGCUAUUGGCCAUUGC